rnacentral:tRNA from 1 species
UGGGGUGUAGCUCAGUGGUAGAGCCCAUGCUUAGCAUGUACAAGGUUCUAAGUUCAAUCCCCAGCACCUCUG